CCUACGGGUGGCAGCAGUGAGGGAUAUUGGUCAAUGGCCGAGAGGCUGAACCAGCCAAGUCGCGUGAGGGAAGACGGCCCUACGGGUUGUAAACCUCUUUUGUCGGGGAGCAAAGCGAGUCACGUGUGACUCAUUGAGAGUACCCGAAGAAAAAGCAUCGGCUAACUCCGUGCCAGCAGCCGCGGUAAUACGGAGGAUGCGAGCGUUAUCCGGAUUUAUUGGGUUUAAAGGGUGCGCAGGCGGAGGUGCAAGUCAGUGGUCAAAUUGCGGGGCUCAACCCCGUACUGCCGUUGAAACUGCAUCCCUUGAGUGCGCGAGAAGUAUGCGGAAUGCGUGGUGUAGCGGUGAAAUGCAUAGAUAUCACGCAGAACUCCGAUUGCGAAGGCAGCUUACUAAGCCAUAACUGACACUGAAGCACGAAAGCGUGGGGAUCAAACAGGAUUAGAUACCCGUGUAGUC
rnacentral:rRNA from 1 species